AAAAAUACAAAUCCUGGGUUUUCAUGUCCAACGUUUGUCGUCCGUCUUAUUUGAAAAAAUUAUGAAAAAAAUUAAAAGACAAGUCACGCAUCAAGUAUUAAUCAUGUUUUAUUAUCUAACAACAAUAAAAAUACUAAUUAUAAAAAAAUUUCAUAUAAGACAGACAGUCAAACGUUGGACACGGAAACCUAAGAUUUGUCCUUUU
rfam:Oryza barthii chromosome 7, whole genome shotgun sequence.